rnacentral:lncRNA from 1 species
AAAAACUUCAGAUAUCUACCUAGGUUUAUCAAAUAUUUACUUUAGUACUUUUUAGUUUUAUCUUUGUCACUGAUUUUUUUUUUCUCCGCUAAUAUUUCGUUAAAUUAUAUACAAAAAACUUCAAAUAUCCUACCUAGGUUUUAUCGAAUAUUCACUUUAGUACCUUUUAGUUUUAACUUUGUCACUGAUUUAAUAAAAAAAAAAUAGUGAAAUCCAUAAUAAAAAGAGAAAAAUGAAACCACAGUGUACUAACUUAAU